rnacentral:rRNA from 1 species
UUAAAGUUUAAYYUUWUAAAUUAUAUUAUAUAUUAUUAAUUUUAUUUUAACUUUUAAUAAUACUUUUUAUUUGUAUUUAUUGUGUAACCGCAGUUGCUGGCACAAUUUUUACUAAUACUAUAUAAUCUACUAAUUCAAAAUUUCUUUUAUGAAUAAAAUUAAUUACUGAGAUUAAAUUAAAAAUGUAUGUUAUUAAAACAACCAUCAAUUCUCACAAAAAUUUUCAUGUAAAAUAAACUAUAGAUAAAAACUUUAAGUAAAAAUUAAACUUUAAAUUUUGAAAUUUAAAUUUUGAAUUAUAAAAAUUAUUAUAAAAGUAAAUAUUUUAAGCUUGGAAAUUUUUAUAAUAAACUAGGAUUAGAUACCCUAUUAUAAGAAAUGUAAAUUUAAAUAAUAGAGUAGUAAUAGUUAUGUUCUUAAAACUUAAUAAAUUUGGCGGUAUUUUAAUCUAUUCAGAGGAACUUGUUUUAUAAUUGAUAAUCCUCGUUAAAUCUUACUUAAUUUAUCAAUUUGUAUACCAUCGUCAUAAGAAUCUCUUAAAAAAGAAAAAAUUUUCUAAAAAAUUAAUUAGUUAAAAUGUCAGAUCAAGGUGCAGUUUAUAGUUAAGAAAAAAUGAGUUACAAUAAAUUUAUUUAAAUGAAUUUUAAAUUUAAAUAUUUAAAUGAAGGUGGAUUUGAUAGUAAAAUAAACAAUAAAAUUUAUUUGAUUUUAGUUCUAAAAUAUGCACAUAUCGCCCGUCGCUCUCGUUAUUUAAAAUGAGAUAAGUCGUAACAUAGUGGGGGUACUGGAAAGUAUCGACCAAU